UACGUAGGGGGCAAGCGUUGUCCGGAUUCAUUGGGCGUAAAGCGCGGGCAGGCGGCCCGUUAAGUCGGCCGUGAAAGCGCCGGGCUCAACUCGGCGAGGACGGGCGAGACUGACGGGCUAGAGGUUGGCAGAGGGCGGUGGAAUUCCGGGUGUAGUGGUGGAAUGCGUAGAGCUCCGGAGGAACACCAGUGGCGAAGGCGGCCGCCUGGGCCAAUACUGACGCUGAGCCGCGAAAGCGUGGGGAGCGAGCCGG
rnacentral:rRNA from 1 species